GAUGAACGCUGGCGGCGUGCCUAAUACAUGCAAGUCGAGCGAACGGACGAGAAGCUUGCUUUUCUGAUGUUAGCGGCGGACGGGUGAGUAACACGUGGAUAACCUACCUAUAAGACUGGGAUAACUUCGGGAAACCGGAGCUAAUACCGGAUAAUAUUUUGAACCGCAUGGUUCAAAAGUGAAAGACGGUCUUGCUGUCACUUAUAGAUGGAUCCGCGCUGCAUUAGCUAGUUGGUAAGGUAACGGCUUACCAAGGCAACGAUGCAUAGCCGACCUGAGAAGGUGAACGGCGACACUGGAAAUGAGACACGGUACAGACUCCGACGGGAGGCAGAAGUAGGGAAUCUUCCGAAAUGGGCGAAAGACUGACGGAGCAAAGCCGCGUGAGUGAUGAAGGUCUUCGGAUCGUAAAACUCUGUUAUUAGGGAAGAACAUAUGUGUAAGUAACUGUGCACAUCUUGACGGUACCUAAUCAGAAAGCCACGGCUAACUACGUG
rnacentral:rRNA from 1 species